AAUCCUCCGUGGGUCGGCCGGCUGCGGUCGGCUGGAGCAAGAAAUGGCACACAAUCUCAAAGACAAGAAGCUUCUAGAAAAUGCAAGACCAGUUGUGUUGGUGGAUCCUUGCGUUAGUAUGUACAGUGCUCUGGGCCACCCCCCAUUCAUGGAUGACUUUCAUCCCAACGUCAAAGUAGUGCAUCUGCCAUUGAAUACUAUGUCACUCAUCCAACCUAUGGA